AGCGGCGGAUGGGUGAGUAACACGUGGGGAACCUGCCCCUAAGUCUGGGAUACCAUUUGGAAACAGGUGCUAAUACCGGAUAAUAAAGCAGAUCGCAUGAUCAGCUUUUGAAAGGCGGCGUAAGCUGUCGCUAAGGGAUGGCCCCGCGGUGCAUUAGCUAGUUGGUAAGGUAACGGCUUACCAAGGCGACGAUGCAUAGCCGAGUUGAGAGACUGAUCGGCCACAUUGGGACUGAGACACGGCCCAAACUCCUACGGGGGGCAGCAGUAGGGAAUCUUCCACAAUGGACGCAAGUCUGAUGGAGCAACGCCGCGUGAGUGAAGAAGGUUUUCGGAUCGUAAAGCUCAGUUGUUGGUGAAGAAGGAUAGAGGUAGUAACUGGCCUUUAUCUGACGGUAAUCAACCAGAAAGUCACGGCUAACUACGUGCCAGCAGCCGCGGUAAUACGUAGGUGGCAAGCGUUGUCCGGAUUUAUUGGGCGUAAAGCGAGCGCAGGCGGAAAAAUAAGUCUAAUGUGAAAGCCCUCGGCUUAACCGAGGAACUGCAUCGGAAACUGUUUUUCUUGAGUGCAGAAGAGGAGAGUGGAACUCCAUGUGUAGCGGUGGAAUGCGUAGAUAUAUGGAAGAACACCAGUGGCGAAAGGCGGCUCUCUGGUCUGCAACUGACGCUGAGGCUCGAAAGCAUGGGUAGCGAACAGGAUUAGAUACCCUGGUAGUCCAUGCGUAAACGAUGAGUGCUAAGUGU
rnacentral:rRNA from 1 species